GUAGGUGAACCUGCGGAAGGAUCAUUAAUGAAACUUCAAGUCGGCCGUAUCUGUGCUGGUGGCAACACAUGUGCACGUUCGGUCGCAAAUCCACACACCUGUGCAUCUACGACCCUCGGAUUGAUUUCCAAGGGUACUUUUACACACUCUGAAUGUAAUGGAAUGUCUCUGUGCAUAAUGUACAACUAAAACAACUUUCAACAACGGAUCUCUUGGCUCUC
rnacentral:misc_RNA from 1 species